rnacentral:rRNA from 1 species
AUUGAACGCUGGCGGCAUGCCUUACACAUGCAAGUCGAACGGCAGCACGGGAGCAAUCCUGGUGGCGAGUGGCGAACGGGUGAGUAAUGUAUCGGAACGUACCUUUCAGUGGGGGAUAACGUAGCGAAAGUUACGCUAAUACCGCAUAUUCUGUGAGCAGGAAAGCAGGGGAUCGCAAGACCUUGCGCUGAUUGAGCGGCCGAUAUCAGAUUAGCUAGUUGGUGAGGUAAAGGCUCACCAAGGCGACGAUCUGUAGCGGGUCUGAGAGGAUGAUCCGCCACACUGGAACUGAGACACGGUCCAGACUCCUACGGGAGGCAGCAGUGGGGAAUUUUGGACAAUGGGCGCAAGCCUGAUCCAGCCAUGCCGCGUGAGUGAAGAAGGCCUUCGGUGUUAAGUACGUCUUUCUAGCCGGG